AUCCUUUUGUAGUUCAUAAGCUGAUGGUUGGGUUUUCACGCUCAUGUGUGAGAUGUGCUCCUUCAUAUCUAGCAACACAUUACUGGGCUGGCG
rnacentral:snoRNA from 10 species